rnacentral:rRNA from 1 species
UACGGAGGGGGCUAGCGUUGUUCGGAAUUACUGGGCGUAAAGCGUACGUAGGCGGCUUUGUAAGUUAGAGGUGAAAGCCCGGGGCUUAACCCCGGAAUUGCCUUUAAGACUGCAUCGCUAGAGUCAUGGAGAGGUGAGUGGAAUUCCGUGUGUAGAGGUGAAAUGCGUAGAUAUACGGAGGAACACCAGUGGCGAAGGCGACUCACUGGACAGGUAUUGACGCUGAGGUGCGAGAGCGUGGGGAGCAAACAGG